rnacentral:rRNA from 1 species
CAAUAGCGUAUAUUAAAGUUGUUGCGGUUAAAAAGCUCGUAGUUGGAUUUCUGCCGAGGACGUCCGGUCCACCCUCUGGGUGUGUACAUGGCACGGCCUGGGCAUCUUCUUGGGGUACGUAUCUGCACUUGACUGUGUGGUGCGGAAUCCAGGACUUUUACUUUGAGGAAAUUAGAGUGUUUCAAGCAGGCGCGCGCCUUGAAUACAUUAGCAUGGAAUAAUAAGGUAGGACCUCGGUUCUAUUUUGUUGGUUUCUAGAGCUGAGGUAAUGAUUGAUAGGGAUAGUUGGGGGCAUCCGUAUUUAACUGUCAGAGGUGAAUUCUUGGAUUUGUUAAAAACGGACUACUGCGAAAGCAUUUGCCAAGGAUGUUUGCAUUGA